rnacentral:misc_RNA from 1 species
AGCAGCUGAUCGACCAGCAACAGGCUAUAGAAGUACUGCCAACCUCAGAUAAAUAAUCAAACAUAAAGUACAAAUUAACAAUUUUGCAAUUAUUGUCAAAUGUGAGAAAUAUUCCAAAUCGACCGUUACAAGUAAAAUUAUCAAGAAUGUUUGAUCACAAUGAAUAUUAUCGCCAACUCUUCAAUUGAUGCAUUCACUUCUUUUUGUUGCGUUUGCUUUGGUGUGUUGCAUCACUGUAAUUGUUUGCAGAAAGUGUGUGUUUGGUUAUGUUUUGUUUAUAAAAUGGACUGAUAACUGCGUUAUACCUACGGUUACAAGUGUGUUUAAAAAUGUUUCCAGUAGUUAACAAUUUAAACAGUUGAAAACAAUCUAGUCGAUAAAGUUAAUUAGUUUCUAAAGUUUUUGUGAUAAUAGUUAUUCUCGUUACAAUGAAGUAUAGUUAGUAGUUACAGUUUGGUGAUUAUUAUUGAUAACGCCUCUACAGGCUCUCAAGUACUUAAGUGUUUGUUGUACUUGAGAUAAUAGUUUUUCUAUUAUAAGUACAGUAUGAAAUGUUCUGUGUAAAUGGUUUUCUAUUGUAUAAAGUUAUUGUAAGUUAUACUCCAGUCAUUCCUUUUCACAGGUUAAUAAUCCAAAACAGUUUUUAUACCUGUGCUACGUAAUGCUAUUUUGCGAAUUUAUGUAUGUUUUGUAUAGAUAACAUGGUACCGAAUUUAACUUUGUUAUAUAAUAUAGAAUUACGGCAAUAAUAUGGAUCCAUCAUUUUAUGGUUUACCAACACAAUUUGGGUCUAAAAAACAUCAUGAACAAAGAAAUUUCUAUCCAAGAUAUGGAAAUAACGUUCAGAAAUAUCAAUGCCCUCGGCGUGAACGAAAAACAAGUGAAAAACAGUUUCUAAUUACGUAUCCCCAGAAAAUAUAUCGGCUCACUUCUGAGAAGGAUUCAAAAGCUCUUCCUAGUGCCAAUAAUUUAUUCUGUGAAAAAAAAUGGAUGAUAGCUUAUCACCAGGAAUUGAAAAACGAACUGAACGCAGUGAAGAGCGAGCUGAAUGAUUUCAAUCUGGAAGAAUGGCACAAACACACAAAGUUCACUUAUAAAUCGGCCAAAGUUCAACCACAUUUGAAAUCCACUAUUCAUCCAGAAUUGCUGACACAGGCAUGGUGCAAGUUUUAUGAGAUUUUGAAUAAUUUUGAGGUGGUGCCAGAUGUAUGUAGAAAAGGACAGCCUCUGAAUAGCAUACAUCUUUGCGAAGCACCAGGGGCUUUCAUUACUUCUUUGAAUCAUUAUUUGAGCACAAACUCUGAAUUACAGAAUGUCACGUGGGAUUGGCUGGCAGUGACCUUGAACCCGUACCACGAGCACAACUCAAGGUCACAGAUGAUAAACGACGACCGCCUCAUCUUCCACACUCUGCCCAAGUGGAACUUUGGAGCCGAUGGCACCGGCAACAUUCAAGAGGUUGACAACAUGAAGUUCAUUGUCGAGGACGCUCGACAAAAGUUUCCAAGCGGAGUUAUGCUGGUAACAUGCGACGGGAGCGUCGACUGCACACUGGAUCCAGCCGAACAGGAGUCGAUAGUUUCGCCGCUGUUCUAUUGCGAGGCGAUCACCGCCCUACACCUGUUGCAGGCCGGAGGCACAUUGGUGCUCAAACUGUUCACACUGUUCGAGUGCGAGACAAUCUGUCUGCUGUUCCUGCUGCACUGUUCGUUCGAGGCAGUCACACUCUACAAGCCGUUGACGAGCAAGGAUGGCAACUCGGAGGUGUAUCUGGUGUGUUGCGGGUACAGACCAACAGAAGCGCUGCGUCAAAUUAUGCCGCAGCUUACUUCUCACUAUGGUCCAAAAAUCACAGAGAAAUCGAUGUUCAGAAAAUGCGAUAUCCCAGUCGACUUCCUGACCGAUGUUUACCGAGCAGCCGAGUUUUUCCAGCAAGGGCAAACGAGUGCCAUUCGCUACAACAUUUCUAGCUUCAACCGCAUCUCGGGUCAUGAAAGGAGACAAUUGCAAGACCAACAGGACGAACUGGCUCACGACUUUGUCGAGUAUUACAAGCUCACAAAGUGUACCAAAGUAAUUGUUGGGAUUAAUAAAAUCAGGCAGGUGCCUGGUCUACCGUCGCAGAGAUUUGAGGACGGAUCCUACAAUGAAAACAAAGACCGUCUGUCAUCAAUGUCCACAUGGCUAAGUUACAUAAAGGACUACAUCACAAAAUACGAAUGUACCUGGCCAUCGACUAGCAAUGAAUUCACCUUCCCCACACUUCCUCACUUGUCCUACAAGUUUGGAAAACGGGUUGACGUUGUAAAUAGCUCCAAGUUCUGCACCAACAGCCUGCUCGAAACCUACAAUAAAAUCAAUAGUCUGUUAGAUAAAGGCUAUGUGGCCCAGGAGUGUUGUUGCAAGGCACCUUCAGAGGUUGAUGCAACAACAGUUGUUGAUGUCACCAAAGAUUAUUUGACUAUGGAAGUUUGGCGAGCCCAAAAACAGGCAACCGAAAAUAUUUUCCGAACCCUGUCAAGUAUGGAACAAGGAUCUACCCUGCAAUUAAUAGGACUCCCUCUGUUGACUCAGUGUGACGUCAGUCUAGUCUGGAUAGUGGGUCACUUCUUUGAAACGGUUACCUGUUUCUACCCAACUGACGCCAUCUAUAAGCUGCAGUUUGAAGGCUUCAACAGAGAGCGCUUUCAACAUACACAGGUGGAUGUUCUAGAUAAAAUGGGGAUGUCCAAUGAGAAUUGUGCUCUAUUAACCAUGUUUCCGAUCACACAGCUCUGCAGUGAUCGACGGUUGUAUAACUGUAUUGUGGCUAUGAACCACAUUUAUACUAAAGAUUACGUUCUCAGACAUAUCAAUUGCAUUCCCCACAACUAAGUUGCUGCGAGAUUUUUGUUGUUAAUUAUUCCAUUUCAGUAUAAUAUAUAAAUAAUGUAAAAAUUUUAAAUUUGUUGUCAGAGAUGUUGUGUAAAUGUUCAGUAAUGAAAUGAAAACACAAUAUAUGUUGGUUUCUAUAUAGUUUUAUUGACACAAGACUGAUGAUGAUUAUACAUUUGGGUCAAUUAAAUAAAAGCUAGCAAUUGCUAGUUCCUAGUAAUUUUCAAACAAAUGCUGGGAUCCGAGUCAUCUAUAUAAUAUUUUUGUAUAGCUGGAACCAAUGACUAUAGUGAGAGAGAGAGGUCAGUGUUUGAUUAGCAAUGGAAUUGCUAUCCUUGUCUAUUAUUCGACAAAGCGGAUAUCUCUAUCUCUUUCUCGCUUUGCUCGCAUUGCCAAAUCGUCUUUUAACAAUGUAAAAUUAAUAAUUAAUCAACAAAAUAUUUCAUCUUAAUUAUGAAAUUAUUGAAAAAUAUAAUUUCAUGCUUAAUAAAAUAUAAUUGAUUAUUUUAAACAAGAAUGAACAGUUAAUAUUACAUCAAUGAACCUGUAUCAGCUACCGUCUAUAGAAGGCAUUGUCAAGACAGAGGAUCGGCAACGUUUUUCUCCACUGCCAUUAUAACUUGGACCUCAUUUUAGUUGCUAGUCACUAUAGUGAGGUCCAUGUUAUAAUGGCAGUGGAUAAAGAUAGAAAAAUAGUGAUGCCGAUUCUCUGAAUUAAUUAAUUAUAUUUCUACACUGUCAGAAACUUAAUUGGCAUCGUUGUGGACCUAGAAAUGGAUAGUACCACCGGCUUUGUCGACAAGGAUAUCAAAACCAAAGUUGAUCAAAUACUGUCAUUAUAACGUGGACCUCACUAUAGAUUCUAUUUUUUAUUCAAUCGACCCAUUGAAUCUUAGGGUGAGAUCACAUCGGAUGUAUUUAUGUGUAAGUGCACGCUUGGUUAUUAUGUGUAAGUGCACGCUUGGUUAUGCAUGACCAAACGCGCAGAUGAGAAACAAACUAUGGAAACAUCAAUAGGAACACUCACACUGAACGCGUGCACUUGCUGGUUGCGUUCAGUGUGAGCAGCUCCCGACAAGUCACAACGUAUUUCAAUGGCUCUAUCCAGAUUUUGUUUUUCGGCUCUGACGUGCACUUGCAUAUAGACGCAUUCAAUGUGAUCAUACACUCUUAAGCUUCUUGUCAAUGAAACUACCUAUUCAUGUAGAAAUGCAACUUUUUGUGUUCUUAUUUCAGUACUUAAUGUAACUAGUGACCAGUUUCUAUUAUCUUGUGUAAAUAAUUAUUAGUUCUUGUAAAAUAGCGUGUGAAAAGUACUGUAUUGAUGUGAGAAUUUAAGUUAACUUCAGAUGAGAGAAAUUUUGAGAAAUGAUUGUUUGAAUAAUUUUAUUGGAUUUUUAUACCAUUUUAUUAUGAAUGUAGCUAAUGUUUUGAAUGUGAAGAAAUAUGUUUGUAUGAAUUUUUAUCGAAAAGAAUUGGAUGAUGGAUAAUAGAAACUCUGUAUUUAGUCUACACAUUGAAAACUUUCAACAAUAUUUUACUAAUCUUAUAAUAUGCUGGGCUAAAUUAAUGAAAACUCUAUAUCAAUUUAUCACAUUCCACAAUCACAAUAUUAAAUUAUUGAUUGGGAGAGAAUCAAAAGGAAAAACCCAAAACUGGUUCUCUCCCUAAUUUUGAUAAAAAUAGUCCAAAUGAGGUUAAGAAAACACAAAAAUUUCCAGUCCAAAUCUACAUUAUACUAAUCUGGGUUGAUCGGAAAGACGAAACAAUUACACUUGAAAAUGAGUCAACAGAUAUAUUAUUUAUAUUCAGUCUACAGAUUGAAAACUUUCAACCAUACUUUACUAAUAUGUAGUGUAUAAGAACUAUGAUGGAUAAACAGUAUUUUGUAAUGUAUUACCUUAAAGCACAAAGUGUUCAACCUUUCACAAAACCUAUGAAUGUGUUCAUAAUGUACCUUCCAAGAAUAAAUCUUGUAGUCGUUAUAGAAUCCAGCAUUGACGUUUUUCAAUUCACUUUACAACUCUUGACUAAUUUCCAUUCCUAGAGAACUCUGCACACAGACGUCUACUGCCUACUAAGGGAACGCGGAAUUGGAAGUGGCAUGUACAUUUGAGUUAUGGACAUUUCUAAUUCCGCGUUCCCAUAUUAGCUGGUGGCUAUGCUGCUACUAAUGUCCCUGUGUGCAGUAUGCUACAUACAAGACUAAACUUUCUUCCAAUUGUCAGGUAGAAAGUUUUUUCCCUUCUAGAAACCUUAUUUGUACAGUUAAAGAGAUUCUGUCAUACGGAUGUCGUAUCUGUAAGUUUCUGAAUGAAUUUUGUUUUAUUGACAUCUACUAUUAACGUUGCUUAUAGCUUGAUUGUUCCAUGGCAAUAAAAUGUUAUUUAUUUGUUAUUAUUUGCAAAGAAUUCAGUUUCAGUAGGGCAAUAGGUAAUUGAGACAAUGUACGAAUUACCUUCAAGACAAUGUUCGAAAUACGAAUUGAUUGAGGCAAUGUUCGAAUUUAAUUGAGGAGGAGAUACCUUUGUGAAUUUUCUAAUGUAGUUAUGUUAUUUGAACGAAAUAUUUAUAUGUCAGGUAUGAAUAAGUUAGCAGCCAUACCAAUACAUAAUUUUAUAGUGAGAUUUUCUCCAAAUUGACAGAAUUCCCUAUAAAUAACAUCAAUCCUUCUCAACUCGAAUGAAUAGUAAUAAAAUAAAUUAAUUUCUAUAUAAAGCAGAUGUAUCGUCGUUUUAUCUAAAAUUAUAUUACCUUGAAUAGCUUUAAAAAGGAUGGAGAAGUUGAUUUAUUGACCAAAUUACUUGAUCUAUUCUUCUGAUUUUGUAUGUUGUUUGAAAAAUGGUAAAAGAAUUUGCAGUAUGGUAUCAGGAUAACUGAAUGUUUGAUGUACCUUAAUAUUGUCAUAAAUUGAUGUACCUUUAUAUUGUAAUAACUUCAAUAAAUGAUCAAUAACAUUGUGCAAGUUAUUUACGGUAACAAAUUCCCAAGGACUUGGAAUAAUCUUGAAAAGUAGUAAGUAUUUGUCAAA